GGGCCCGUAGCUCAGCGGUAGAGCAUCGCCCUUGCAAGGCGGGGGCCUCGGGUUCA
rnacentral:tRNA from 1 species